ensembl:snoRNA
AAGUCAUUACCAAGGCUUUUAGAAUGUGGUUUCUUGUUUGCUGUGGAUGUGACCUUAAAGAAACGCCCACUAGGUUUGUUUGCUGCUACAAUGGUAACAUUCAUCCUUGUGGGAACAUUU